AUACGAAGGGGGCUAGCGUUGCUCGGAAUUACUGGGCGUAAAGGGAGCGUAGGCGGACAUUUAAGUCAGGGGUGAAAUCCCGGGGCUCAACCUCGGAAUUGCCUUUGAUACUGGGUGUCUUGAGUGUGAGAGAGGUAUGUGGAACUCCGAGUGUAGAGGUGGAAUUCGUAGAUAUUCGGAAGAACACCAGUGGCGAAGGCGACAUACUGGCUCAUUACUGACGCUGAGGCUCGAAAGCGUGGGGAGCAAACAGGAUUAGAAACCCUUGUAGUCC
rnacentral:rRNA from 1 species